CCCUACGGGGUGGAGCGUAGAGGGCUGCGCUCCAUCUUCGAGGCCCUCGGUGUCUGCCCGGAGGUUCCCGAGGAGCAUCUCGAAGCCUAUGCCAUUCUCACCGCCAUGGGUCCAACCUACCUCUGGUUCCAGCUCUACGAGCUGAAGGCAAUUGCCCAAUCGUUCGGUCUUGCUCCCCAGGCGGUGGCGGAGGGAAUAGCGCAGAUGGUCUCCGGCGCGGUUGAAACCAUGUUCGCUUCGGAUUUGAGCCCACAAGAGGUCAUGGACCUCAUCCCGGUCAAACCCCUCGCGGAAGAGGAAGAAAAGAUCAGAGUGAUGUACCGGUCACGACUCAUGGCCCUCUUCACCAAGUUGAAGGGAUAAAGAGGAAUAACGGCACAUGGAUAAUGAAUUGGCGGGAGGGC
rnacentral:rRNA from 1 species